rnacentral:misc_RNA from 1 species
AAGUCGUAACAAGGUAACCGUAGGUGAACCUGCGGUUGGAUCAUUAUUAUAAUGACUCUUUUAUAGGGAGACGAGCGAAACUGGAUAUUUUAUCUGGAUUACUUCACUGCAGACUCCCUAUAAAAGUGACUAACCAUUUGUGCAAUGUGAUGUAUUUUGGGUCUAGCUUUAAACCUAGGCCCUGCCAUUUGAAAACCAUUUUUAAACUUGACUAAAACUUAAAUAUAAAAUUUUAAAACUAUAGACAACGGAUCUCUUGGUUCUC